rnacentral:rRNA from 1 species
UACGUAGGGGGCAAGCGUUGUCCGGAUUUAUUGGGCGUAAAGAGCGUGUAGGCGGCCAGGUAGGUCCGUUGUGAAAACUCGAGGCUCAACCUCGAGACGUCGAUGGAAACCCUCUGGCUAGAGUCCGGAAGAGGAGAGUGGAAUUCCUGGUGUAGCAGUGAAAUGCGUAGAGAUGCGGAGGAACACCGAUGGCGAAGGCAGCCCCCUGGGCCGACAUUGACGCUCAGGCACGAAAGCGUGGGGAGCAAACAGG